rnacentral:rRNA from 1 species
AUUGAACGCUGGCGGCAGGCCUAACACAUGCAAGUCGAACGAGUGGCGGACGGGUGAGUAAUGUCUGGGAAACUGCCCGAUGGAGGGGGAUAACUACUGGAAACGGUAGCUAAUACCGCAUACCAUCGGAUGUGCCCAGAUGGGAUUAGCUAGUAGGUGGGGUAAUGGCUCACCUAGGCGACGAUCCCUAGCUGGUCUGAGAGGAUGACAAGCAACACUGGAACUGAGACACGGGACAGAGUCCUAAGGGAGGAAGCAGUGGGGAAUAGUGCACAAUGGGCGCAAGACUGAUGCAGCCAUGCCGCGUGGAUGAAGAAGGCCUGCGGGUUGUAAAGUACUUUCAGCGAGGAGGCGUUACUCGAAGAAGAAGCACCGGCUAACUCAGUGCCAGCAGCCGAGGUAAUUC